ACAAAGCCACUGCAUGCUGAUGGUGGACUGGCAAUGUGCAAGCCAUGAAUUGAAAGGGCGCCACCGUGUGCUGAUGCUAAUAAAAAGGCCUUUUGGUGCGGACGAUGAAAGAGAGCAGAAGAAUAAAUACGGGAAGGAAUUUUAUGUUGGUGCAGAGGUAUGAAUUGUACAUCUAGAAUUUAACAUCUUAAUACCUAAUGUCGGUGUGAUGGAUGCCACAAAUUGUUCUUGGUAGAAGCUAAAUAGAUAUUAUCAAUAAAUAUUUUAUCAUUAUACGAAAAUAUGUCCGUGGUGUUCCUGUUUUGCCUCUUAAAUUUAUUGAUAUUCAGGUAUGAGUUAU
rnacentral:lncRNA from 1 species